rnacentral:rRNA from 1 species
AUCUAUAGCCAUACCACCCUGAAUGCACCCGAUCUUGUCUGAUCUUGGAAGCUAAGCAGGAUCUGGUUAGUACUUGGAUGGGAGACUGCCUGGGAAUAUCAGAUGCUGUAGGCU